CCUACGGGAGGCAGCAGUGGGGAAUUUUGGACAAUGGGGGAAACCCUGAUCCAGCCAUGCCGCGUGCGGGAAGAAGACCUUCGGGUUGUAAACCGCUUUUGUCGGGGAAGAAACGGUCUGCGUUAAUACCGCGGACUAAUGACGGUACCCGAAGAAUAAGCACCGGCUAACUACGUGCCAGCAGCCGCGGUAAUACGUAGGGUGCAAGCGUUAAUCGGAAUUACUGGGCGUAAAGCGUGCGCAGGCGGCUUUGCAAGACAGAUGUGAAAUCCCCGGGCUUAACCUGGGAACUGCAUUUGUGACUGCAUGGCUGGAGUGCGGCAGAGGGGGAUGGAAUUCCGCGUGUAGCAGUGAAAUGCGUAGAUAUGCGGAGGAACACCGAUGGCGAAGGCAAUCCCCUGGGCCUGCACUGACGUUCAUGCACGAAAGCGUGGGGAGCAAACAGGAUUAGAUACCCUGGUAGUCCACGCCCUAAACGAUGUCAACUGGUUGUUGGACGGCUUGCUGUUCAGUAACGAAGCUAACGCGUGAAGUUGUCCGCCUGGGGAGUACGGCCGCAAGGUUGAAACUCAAACGUAUUGACGG
rnacentral:rRNA from 1 species